GCUCAGAACGAACGCGGGCGGCGUGCCUAACACAUGCAAGUCGAGCGAGAAAGCCCGCAAGGGUGAGUACAGCGGCGCACGGGUGCGUAACACGUGGGUAAUCUGCCCUGAAGCCCGGAAUAACCUCCCGAAAGGGAAGCUAAUACCGGAUGAAACCACGGGAGCCUCGGCUCCUGUGGGAAAAGGUGGCCUCUGCAUGCAAGCUAUCACUUCAGGAUGAGCCCGCGGCCCAUCAGCUCGUUGGCGGGGUAACGGCCCACCAAGGCUACGACGAGUAGCUGGUCUGAGGGGACGAUCAGCCACACUGGAACUGAGACACGGUCCAGACUCCUACGGGAGGCAGCAGUGGGGAAUCUUGCGCAAUGGGCGAAAGCCUGACGCAGCAACGCCGCGUGUGUGAUGAAGGUCUUCGGAUCGUAAAGCACUGUCGGGAGGGACGAAUAAGGGCCAGGUGAACAAUCUGGUUCGAUGACGGUACCUCCAAAGGAAGCACCGGCUAACUCUGUGCCAGCAGCCGCGGUAAUACAGAGGGUGCAAGCGUUGUUCGGAAUUAUUGGGCGUAAAGCGCGUGUAGGCGGUCUCGCAAGUCGGAUGUGAAAGCCCUCGGCUUAACCGAGGAAGUGCGUUCGAAACUACGAGACUUGAGUGCCGGAGAGGGUGGCGGAAUUCCCGGUGUAGAGGUGAAAUUCGUAGAUAUCGGGAGGAACACCAGUGGCGAAGGCGGCCACCUGGACGGUAACUGACGCUGAGACGCGAAAGCGUGGGGAGCAAACAGGAUUAGAUACCCUGGUAGUCCACGCUGUAAGCGAUGAGCGCUAGGUGUUGUGGGUGUUGACCCCCGCAGUGCCGCAGCUAACGCAUUAAGCGCUCCGCCUGGGAA
rnacentral:rRNA from 1 species